rnacentral:rRNA from 1 species
CGUGAGACUUUUUGCAUGUACCUUAUGAAUAAGGACCGGCUAAUUCCGUGCCAGCAGCCGCGGUAAUACGGAAGGUCCGGGCGUUAUCCGGAUUUAUUGGGUUUAAAGGGAGCGUAGGCCGGAGAUUAAGCGUGUUGUGAAAUGUAGAUGCUCAACAUCUGCACUGCAGCGCGAACUGGUUUCCUUGAGUACGCACAAAGUGGGCGGAAUUCGUGGUGUAGCGGUGAAAUGCUUAGAUAUCACGAAGAACUCCGAUUGCGAAGGCAGCUCACUGGAGCGCAACUGACGCUGAAGCUCGAAAGUGCGGGUAUCGAACAGGAUUAGAUACCCUGGUAGUCCGCACGGUAAACGAUGGAUGCCCGCUGUUGGUAUGAAUAGGUCAGCGGCCAAGCGAAAGCAUUAAGCAUCCCACCUGGGGAGUACGCCGGCAACGGUGCAACUCAAAGGAAUUGACGGA